CCUUGAUACCUGUUAGUCCUGGCCGUAAACGAUGAANACUAGAUGUCGGGGGAAUCGACCCCCUCNGUGUCGUAUCUAACGCGUUAAGUGUNCCGCCUGGGGAGUACGCACGCAAGUGUGAAACUCAAAGGAAUUGACGGGGGCCCGCACAAGCGGUGGAGUAUGUGGUUUAAUUCGAUGCAACGCGAAAAACCUUACCAAGGCUUGACAUCCUGUGAAUCUCCAAGAAAUUGGAGAGUGCCUUCGGGAACGCANUGACAGGUGGUGCAUGGCUGUCGUCAGCUCGUGUCGUGAGAUGUUGGGUUAAGUCCCGCAACGAGCGCAACCCACGUUUUUAGUUGCCAGCAUUCAGUUGGGCACUCUAGAAAGACUGCCGGUGACAAACCGGAGGAAGGUGUGGACGACGUCAAGUCAUCAUGCCCCUUACGCCUUGGGCUACACACGUACUACAAUGCUACGGACAAAGAGUAGCGAUCUUGCGAAAGUUAGCUAAUCUCGUAAACCGUGGCUCAGUUCAGAUCGUAGGCUGCAACUCGCCUACGUGAAGGAGGAUCGU
rnacentral:rRNA from 1 species